rnacentral:rRNA from 1 species
UAGCCGUAAACGAUACUCGCUAGGUGUCGGCCACGGUGCGACCGUUGUCGGUGCCGUAGGGAAGCCGUGAAGCGAGCCACCUGGGAAGUACGGCCGCAAGGCUGUAACUUAAAGGAAUUGGCGGGGGAGCACCACAACGGGUGGAGCUUGCGGUUUAAUUGGAUUCAACGCCGGAAAUCUUACCGGGACCGACAGCAACAUGAAGGCCAGGCUGAAGACUUUGCCGGAUUAGCUGAGAGGAGGUGCAUGGCGUAGUCGUGU